GCCCAGGUAGCUCAGUAGGUAGAGCAGCGGAUUGAAAAUCCGCGUGUCGACGGUUCGAUUCCGCCCCUGGGCA
rnacentral:tRNA from 1 species